UACGAGAGGCCCAACCGUUAUUCGGAAUUACUGGGCUUAAAGAGUUCGUAGGCGGCAUGAAAAGUAGGGUGUGAAAGCCCUCGGCUCAACCGAGGAAUUGCGCUCUAAACUGUCGUGCUCGAGGAACCUAGAGGUGAGCAGAACUGAUGGUGGAGCGGUGAAAUGCGUUGAUAUCAGGAGGAACACCGGUGGCGAAGGCGGUUCUCUGGGCAUGUCCUGACGCUGAGGAGCGAAAGUGUGGGGAGCGAACAGG
rnacentral:rRNA from 1 species